ensembl:lncRNA
AGUGAGCUCAGUGUGUCUUUUUUAAAAGAUGAGUCAAGAAGUGUAUUUAGUCGGUCAUCAUUGUGAACAGAAGAGGCGAGGCGAACGCUUAUCAUUUAGGAGUUGUGUUUUUUUUGCAUAAAGGAAACAGAUGAAUGCUCAGCUCAUCCCUGGUGAGCUUCACCUUGUGAGAGCCGUUACUCUCAUUAAUCUCCUGCUUUCCUUCCCCUGCCUGCCUGCUCUCUUUCUGUUUUUUCAUCCCUCGCUCCUCCUCUCUCCUUUCCAGACAAUGAUCCAAUUAGCUGCUGGCUGCGGUGGCACCAGUUGCCUACAGAUGUCAGAUGCCUCUGUGUGUGCAGCUCACCUGCACAUUAAAUACAUACAGGCUUGAUGGUCUGUCCGUCAAGUAUUUAAUCUGUGUUGUUGUAUUUAACUUUUUCUAUCUAAGUUACAUUUGUCUUGCUUUAUCAACUUACCUCUCUCCUGUUGUAUUGUUUUUUUGAAAAGGUUCUAGUAUUAAUAAUUGUUAUUCGAUUGUCAUGCAUAUAGUUUUUUUAAUGUUAUUCCUCGCAUUGGCUCUUCAUCCACUUUAGGUUUCACUGGCCGCAACACAGAGGAGAACAUUACCUAAAAUAUCAAUUACAGUUAGAUGCUCUAUAGAUGAUCUAUGCAAGAUGUAAUUAUCCAUAAAUCCACCAAAUGUCCUUUAAGAGCUUUCACGUGUCCCGUUUUCAUGAUUCAAACUGCACAACAUUUACCAUCAAACAUUGAGGGGAUUUCCCGUCCUCAAUGACCUGCAGCAGGUUCCUGGAAGCGAGCCCGACCCCGCGGCCGUGUGUCGGACCUGAUCGGAGCCCCUUUGGACACAUUGGAUCCAGUGCUUUGGUUGAGAAGCUUACCGGGACGUCUCAUAUCUCACAUCUCCUUGGAGCCCAGCAAGAGUGUGCUCAGCCCGGUGGACAUCUUGUAGACCAGGACUUCAGCUGAGGAGCUUUCUCUUCACUCCUCUACCUCGAAACGAUAUUUAUAGAUCGCACAUUUGCAUAUGAAUGUGAUUUCUGUUCGGUUGACCCAGACGCGGCUGCGUUCUCCCCACACGUCCUCAUUCCCCCCUCACAGUCCUCCAGAUGCCCUCAGCGUGUUGCCGCCUCCCGCCGGUCACUUCCUCUCCUCGCACGCUCGCACACCUGCUCCUCGUUUCCUCCCUGACUCUCACAGUAUAAAUAGCUGCUCUCUUGCCUCUCUCCGUCGUGGCCUCGCGCUCACACCUCGUGUUAAAGUCCGUCAUGAGUGCAAUGGCAUGUUUUGAUGUGUGGUAUUUUUCCUUGGUCACUGAGCCCCGUGUGGAACAACGACAACAUGCGUUUGUCGUGUUGCUGGUGAUGAAAGUAAGUAUUGUUGGGUAGUUUGCAUUUUUUCAUGUGGUGGUUAAUUUGAAGUCAAUCAGACGUACGGGGAGAGGGGGCGUGGCCUAAUUAAUGUUACAAAAAAAAAAGAAUACAGGAAUUUUGUCAUACCGAAAUGCAAAAACCCCUAAAAUAUCAUAGUUUUUUACCAGUCCUGAUACUUAUACAUACUUAUGUGCGUUUUUAAGCAUUUAGCAUCAGAAUCUAAUUGAUUUGGCAUAAAAAGAAGAAAAGUCACGGCUUCCAAAGGGCCUUCGCUCACCUGACGUCGUCCUUGCUCGUGCCCUAAUAAACAAAAAUGGGUUGACAUAAAAGUUUGGAAAUACAUAAAUGAUCAUUUGAAAGACGUAUGUGGAGCGCACGCAGUGCUGGUAAAAAAUAAAAUCUUUUGAAAUGUUAAGGUUAAGACAUUAAUAAUACCUGAUUUUGUCUGUACCUGAACUCCCUAGUGAUGAUAAUAAAAAUGCCCUCUUGUUAAUGGAACCCCUGAAAUCAAUUCUCUGUAUGAUUUAUAUUUGACGAUUCGGCAUCAGUGCUUCACGACGUCCCGUCCAAGAGGAGUCACGCUUAUCUAGCACCGUAGAUCUGAAGGUUUGCAGCCUUCCGACGGCGUUUGAGAAAAGGCUCUUUUCUGCGCAUUGAAAAGCAAGGCCAUUGGGAAGAUUUGAUUUUCAGUGAAGUCUGCAGGCUGAGUGACGAUUGAAGGCCAAAUGUAAGAGGAAAAAGAACCACUUCAAAAUGUGCCGGCAUUGUUCUGUAGAUGCGCGCUGGGGGAGAGACGUGCGCGGCGCCUUCAUCCGUCUGAAGGUGCAUUACUGAUCUAUUGUCCAUCAAUGUCUUGUCUCCUUCCCUCCUUUGUCCUCCGUUUGCUCUGCGGCCUUCGAAACCUCUUUCAUCAAGGCCCCCGGUUCAAAGGGAGCAGCAGCUGCUCCGAGGCUGUUUAGGGUCCUCAGGGUUUGACCUGUGACCUUCCUAUGCUACGGCGCCGUGCCAUCCGUUUAGGCUGGAUUGAACAGAGCGAUAUGAGGGCAGAGCACGCGGGAUCAAUGAGGGAACAUGCCUGGAAUUCAGCGGCGGGGCUUCAUCUUUGCACAAAGAGAUGGGGGGCCGCUUUGUGGGAGUGUUUUCAUAGAGCCGUGACAAUGUCAUGUUUAAUAUAAACAGAUAUUAUCCAAUGUUUUAUUCAGUGUUUUUAUUGAUAGUUGAUUUAUAAUUCAUUGAGCUUCUCACAAUUUUAGCUGUUUUUGCGGUUUUGUACGAUUGUGAAUUUCAUAUCUGUGUGUUUGGGAGUGUUGGUUGGACACAACUGUUUUCUGACAUUUUAUACACAAUUUAAUGAUACUGAAAACAAGAACAAUAGUCACCGGCAUGCUAGCAGCUGUGUCUGGCUGGACUUAGGCAAGGUAACGGUAAUAAGCUCAGCGUGAGCAACAUUUUCUAAUCAACACCCGACACAAAGUACACCUGCAGCUGAUGUUAUUAGUGCCGCAGGUCUUGGGUCAUAAACCAAAGCCAAAGGUUGACUCAGACUUUAGUGAUGGUGCUAAAUAAAAAGUUAAAGGGAUCCUUCAUGGCAAUCCGUCCAAUAGUUCCUGUUACAUUUCACCCAAAACCACAAAAGUAGAGUCAAGGGAGACAUCAACUGAGCCAUUUGCCAUGAACGUCUUUACAAAAUGUUGGGAUAAUUCAUUUUUUAGAUGUCGUCAACUCUUACAAAAUCAGAAAGCGUCAAUGUAAUCCAUACGAUAGUUGUGAUAUAUUUAGUCUGGACCAAAGUGCUGGACUAAGCUGAUGCUCCCACGUUGCUAUCGUGGCUGAAACGUGUGAGAUGCAGCACAACAAGUCAUUGCAACAUGUUUCCAGUCCCAUUUCCAUCCCAAAUAUCCUGGUCCGUCGUCCAUCCAACCCUAAUCCUAAAGGCCUUUUGGGGUGUUGGUAUUUUAUUUUUUUGUCAAAUGUAUUCACAUCGUGAAUACACAGUAUAUUUCCUCAAACCGUUAUCAUCCUGAAUACUUGCGUAAAAGCUUUCUUUUACUUCUUUGCACAGAAUGUGUUUUUGUGUGAUUUGGCACCGCAAAUGAAAAACAUCAAAGAAAUCACAUUCUGCUGAACAAUUUGAGUUGUGACUCUACUUUCAUUUUGUAAUUAAUCGGUAUUAUUCUGCAUUUGUUAUUAUAUUUUUGCUUCUUUCCAGGUGUGUAAAGGAUUUUAGACAUUAAUCUCCAGUAUGUUAAGUAAUAAAAUCCUGAAUUGAAUCUUUCUGUGAAAGAUGAUGGUUCAAUUCUAAGAUUCACUCAUUUUGUUUUGUUUAGAGUCCUGAAGAGAAAGAACUGCCGCUAUUAAACUAACAGAUAAAGGAAAACUAAUUUUGAUUAAAAAUGUCCCGUCUACUUAACCUUCUCACAGCCGGUCAGGUUUAUCUCAGCAGGCCUCUGGGGUCCUGACCCCACAUUGAGAUGCAUAGGCCUGGGGCGUAUAUACUGAGGCCUCUAAAAGCCUCUGGCUGUGGUUUAUAUUUGGCCUAUAUAUACAUCACACACCUUAUCAGAGCCCAUAUUGCCUCCAUAUAUUGAUGCAUUUACAAAAUGAGUCUCUGAGAUGUCCAUGCAGCCACUAUGAGAAAUGUAUUCCAAAGACCUCCAAAGCGUUUUGACAAAUCAUCACAUCUGCCAGAUUCAACGUAAAAAUGAGAUUUACAGCUUAUUUAAAGGAUGGUGGAGAUUGCGUGUGUGUGUAUGUCCAUCCAUCCAUCCAUUGUCAAACCUCUUAUCCUGCACACAGGGUCGCGGGGGGCUGGAGUCCAUCCCAGCCAACUUCGGGCGAUAGACAGGGUACAUCCUGGAUUGGUCGCCAGCAGAGACACUCAACCAUUCACACUCACAUUCACACAUCUACGGAGCAUGUCUUUGGACUGUGGGAGGAAGCCAGAGAACCCGGAGAGAACCCACGCAGACACGGGGAGAACAUGCAGACUCCACACAGAAAGGCCACUGGGUGGAAUCGAACCCAGGACCUUCUUGCUGUGAGGCGACAGUGCUAACCACCACGCCACCGUGCCGUGUGCCGUGUGUGUGUGUUGUAUUUUAAUAUCUAUAAAAAGUCUAAAAAAAUUAUAAUAAUAAGUAAAGAUGAACUCAUUGGAGUUCAAUUUUGUCCAAAUUAAUUUUCAUUGUUCAGUAUUCAUAUUUUAGUUAACGGGGCUCGAUGAAGACGAGAGAAAACAACCCUAAAAGGCAAAAUAAAUGGGAAGGAAGAGUGUGUGGGUGAGUGUGUGUCUGCCAGUGUGUAUGUGUUUGUUUGAUUCCGUUUGUGUGUGUGUGUGUGUGUGUGUGUGUGUGUGUGUGUGUGUGUGUGUGUGUGUGUGUGUGUGUGUGUGUGUGUAGGUGUGUGAGUGUUUGUGUGUCUGUAUAUACUUGUGUGUUUCUGUGUUUGUGCGUCCUCGAGUGGGAAAGAUCAGCUGCUGCUGAUUCUGCUGGAAAUUUCAGGUUUAUUGAUGGAUUCUAAAAGCAAUUUGACCUUUUGUAUGUGCACUUGAUCUCACUCACACCACAGGAUAAUUGGACCUUUAUUUACUUUUUCUAUUUUUUAAAUUACUUUCCAUUUUGGGCAUGAAAGGGGGAAACAGCUCAGGCAGGACAUCUAAGCUUAAAUCAACAGUAUUGCAAGAAUCUGAAAUAACUAUAAAUCACAUCAAUCAAAUUAAUCUGUGUGUAUUCAUGCAGGUGCACUUACACUGGGAUUAUGUGCCUGUGUGUGUGUGUGUCCGUGCAGGUGCACCUAUUAAUAUACAGAGAUAUUGCGUGUGUGCGUGGGCGGGUGUGGAUGUGGGUGGGCGGUUGCCAGGUGUGGAUCACACACAGACGCAAGAAAUGCACAAACAGGCACAGAUGGCCAAAGUCUCCAGAGUCUUUCAUAUGCACAUGUGUAAACAGACACCAUACAGCAGGAAAUCCUACUUAGAAUACAGGAUUCUUUAUCACAAGCUGAGAAAAGCUAGUGCACCUUUCUCCGGGGGGGGAACUUCUCUCUUCUGCUCGGUCCCAAUCUCCCCCCCUCACCGACUCACGGACCCACAGACUUUGAGGCGCUGCCGCGAACCCCGUGAGGGUUUAGUUCUGUCCCGUUGUCACACCGCCGAGUGCUUGAGGCUCUCUGGCAGACAUUUUGAGCCCCUUUUCCGUUGGGAAUUACCCACAAGUCAUUGCAAUGUGACGUUAGAAACGUGAUAACCAGUGAAAGCAUGGAGGAGCAAAAAGAGGUAAUCAAAGCGGACGGCACAUUGUCUUAUUAAAAUGGAUACAUUUAAAACGUUGAGGUUUUAAAAAGCACAUGAAAUCAGACGAUAUUUCCUUGUUUAUUCAUAAAAUAUGACAUUUUGUCAUCAAAACAAUUUUGACAACAGUAAAAACGUUAUUUGAAAUUACCUUAUGAGGAAAAAGCCAGGAACACGUUUAAAUAAAUGAGUAAAACGUAUGAAAUAAAUCAAUUGUAAAUCACAUUUUUGACGUUGUCAUGGUGACGUGACAUGCAGCAAAGUGCUGUCCCAUUCACAUUCAGACCAUUUAGAGCCCUCCCACUCAACCACUUAGGUGAUGUCAUUGAAGUCCCUGAGGGUUUAGGGGGGGCAUUGGGAUUGGGCCUUAGAGUACGAACCUUUCUUAAUUCCUGGAAAAAGGUGACAUUUUUCUAUAUAUUGUUGUUGUUCAAGUGAAUAUGUAGACAUCAGACAUGCACGAUGACAGGUGCAGUUACAGAGAUAGUAUAUAUAAAUAUUCCAAUAUAAAUAAUAAACCAGGGCUGCGGGGGG